AGUGAACGCUGGCGGUAGGCCUAACACAUGCAAGUCGAACGGCAGCACAGUAAGAGCUUGCUCUUACGGGUGGCGAGUGGCGGACGGGUGAGGUAUACAUCGUAAUCUACUUUUUCUUGGGGGAUAACGUAGGGAAACUUACGCUAAUACCGCAUACGACCUACGGGUGAAAGCAGGGGAUCUUCGGACCUUGCGCGAUUGAAUGAGCCGAUGUCGGAUUAGCUAGUUGGCGGGGUAAAGGCCCACCAAGGCGACGAUCCGUAGCUGGUCUGAGAGGAUGAUCAGCCACACUGGAACUGAGACACGGUCCAGACUCCUACGGGAGGCAGCAGUGGGGAAUCUUGGACAAUGGGCGCAAGCCUGAUCCAGCCAUACCGCGUGGGUGAAGAAGACCUGCGGGUUGUAAAGCCCUUUUGUGGGGAAAGAAAAGAAGCAGGUUAUUACACCGCGGUUCUGACGGUACCCGAAGUAUAAGCCCCGGCUAACUUCGUG
rnacentral:rRNA from 1 species